UACGGAGGGGGCUAGCGUUGUUCGGAAUUACUGGGCGUAAAGCGCGCGUAGGCGGCUUAGCAAGUUAGAGGUGAAAGCCCGAAGCUCAACUUCGGAAUUGCCUUUAAAACUGCAAAGCUAGAAUCAUGGAGAGGUGAGUGGAAUUCCGAGUGUAGAGGUGAAAUUCGUAGAUAUUCGGAAGAACACCAGUGGCGAAGGCGACUCACUGGCCUGGUAUUGACGCUGAGGUGCGAAAGCGUGGGGAGCAAACAGG
rnacentral:rRNA from 1 species